GGUGGGCAGGCAGUGAGAAUCAGUCAGACAGGUGGGCGUGCACAGUGAGAGACAGACAGAGACAGGUGGGCAGGCAGUGAGAGUCAGUCAGACAGGUGGGCGUGCACAGUGAGAGACAGACAGAGACAGGUGGGCAGGCAGUGAGAGUCAGUCAGACAGGUGGGCGUGCACAGUGAGAGACAGACAGAGACAGGUGGGCAGGCAGUGAGAAUCAGUCAGACAGGUGGGCAGGCAGUGAGAGUCAGUCAGACAGGUGGGCGUGCACAGUGAGAGACAGACAGAGACAGAUGGGUGAAUAG